rnacentral:ncRNA from 1 species
UCGUCCUGCUCGUGAUCGUCUUCUCAACCUUCACGUGCGGGCGGAUGAAAGAAGAACCCCCGUGAUGACGUGAAUCACGGGGGUUCUUC